rnacentral:lncRNA from 1 species
UUUAACUAAAAUAAAUUUACUUAUAAAAAUAUAUUUAUUUGUAAGUACUAUUUAUUGAACAAGUAAUGUUUCCAAUAAUGAAAAAACUUAUAUAUUAAUGUUUAACACUAACCUAUACAAUGAAAUUGUUAAACAUGUAAAUAUUUUAUUAUUUAUAACAAUGGAAAAUAUAUGAGAUGAUCCUAAUUUUUUUUAACGAUCAUUUUUUUAACGAUCAAUAGUGUAGAUUAUUUGUUAUUUGGAAAAGAAAACAGCGCAAACGAAGAUUCUGGAUAAAGCCUAUAAAUGAAAAUCGACCUCAAGGAGAUUUUGUUGCUUUAUUUUUAGCAAGCGCUAAAAGAUGACACUGAUAUGUUUUUUCAAUAUACAAGGAUGACAGUUGAUUACUUUUAUAUUUUAUUGGAAAUGGUAUUUCCAAAGCUUGAAAAACAAAAUUGGAGAGCUUGCCAGUUGAAUUACGCUUGUCCCUAACACUGAGAUAUUUAGCUACUGGAGACCAAAUACUGUCCAUAGCAUUGGCAUCGUAUAGGAGAAUCAACAACACGUGCUAUUAAAAGAAACAACUGAAGUCAUUUCGAAUGUUUUACUUCCUUUACAAAAUUUUACAGCCGCCAUCUGAAACAGAUUAUAAGUGAAUUAGUGCAGGGUUUCCUGAAAAAUGGAAUGUUUCCAAAUUGUCUUGAUUCGUUUGAUGGCAAACAACAUUGCGUUAUUUAAGCUCCUUCACACUCUGACAGUUUAUAUCACAACUAUAAAAAAAGUUUAGUAUAAUAUUAAUGGCUGCUUGUGAUUCUAAUUAUAAAUUCACUUUAGUUGAUAUUGGUUCGUAUAGAAGUCAAAAUGAUGCAGAUUAUCACGUGCACGAAGAACAAUUGAGAAUACCUUUGGAAUUUUGAUAUCUCGUUGGAGAGUACUGCGUAGACCUAUAUG